AUUGAAAAAGAAGAAAUACACCUGAGCUAUCGCUAGGACGGAGACAAAGGAACGGCGGUCGUAGACGGCAGGAAGUUGAGCCGUGGCUCAACUCGUGGGGCUCCUUCCUGAUCCGUGGCUCAGGAUUCGUGGUACUGUCGUCUCCUACCUUACCCUGCUGGAUUCAAUGGGUGGGAGUUGUGGAGACGCCGCCGCCGCCGCCCGAUUCAGGCGAAUCCAUUCCCGGCUAUGAAAUUCCUUCUGCAGCUGAUUAGUACUCCUAGAAGAUCCCCUUUGGUUGAGGAGGUGGAUGGAAGUCAUCUCCCCAUGGAUCUGCUGGAUAAAGGACGGCGACGUCUUUCAGGGCAGUGGAAGAGCCGCCGCCGGCAUCCUUUAGGGCAGACGUGCGGAACAGUCAGAAACAGGCAGGCGUGGAUGGACGACGGGAGAGCUCGGCCCAGUUGUCUGCAAAAUGGAUGCACCCUGGUGGUCAAAGAGUAUUUGAUGGAGAACAAUGAUUUCAUGGCCAUCGGAAUAAUUGGUCCACCUGGUUUGGCAUGUCAACCACCAUGAACGAGCUUUAUUGCAUUAUAUUCUUCCUUUGGAAUUAAUCUGUGUUCAUCUAAUUAAAAUACGGAUAAUUUGUUGAAGUAACAUAUGUGACCCAUCAUUUUAAACCUCAAUUAUCUUCACCAAACAAGGAAAAUAAAAUUGAUAACCUAUGAGGCAAUGAAGACAGCAUGGCCAAUCUCUGCUCUGUUUUCUGCACACCGGAAAAGUGACAAUGAACACUGGCGAAACAUAUGACCAAGAGUCCACAGGACCUAGAUCAUCGACUCUGCCCAGGCCGCUCCAGCAGUAGUGAGGAUCCCUUACAGUAUGAUAAUUGAUAUGCUAACAGAACUAGGAUUACCAAAGGUUUAAUAUCGUUAGAAAAUAUAUGACGGCAGCAAGGCCUGUGUCACUGUCUUUUGUAGCACUCCUAUGCUACUCCAUGAUAGUGAAUCUACCCGUGCAUCCAUAUCUACAGUCCUUUCCAUAGAUGAUGAUGCAGCAGAGGACACAGUUGCUAUUGAAGCUAAAGGUGCUUGGAAAACGCAACCAACACAGAGAUCAGACUACAAUGAAAAUCACAUGAAGCGCCUCCAAACCUGAAUGAGCAGCUCAUGCACCUGCUCAACAUAGUGAAUGGGAGCAAAGAAAAGCUUGCCAGGGGUUGAUUCCUUGCCGUGAGGCACAUGAGGUCCUUCUGUAAACAAAUACAAAACUUGACCUCUAUAAUGCCCAAGACGCCAUAAGAUGAGGUCAUAAGCACAGCUCUAGGCAAUAUCAGUGGGGAGGCUGCUGAUGGGGGCUAACCUGGCUAUCGAGGGACAUGCUAGCGAGAUAUGCACAAGGGCAAUGUUUGGGCGUAUAUUUUAUGAGUGUGGCGCAUACCAGGUUUUAUAUGCGAAGAAGAACAGAUCAUAUCUUGCAAUGAUGGAGGGUGGGGAUGACUUUGACUGUGAGUGUGGGCAGUUCGCCCACAUGGGUAUACUACACACCCAUGUUCUUGAGGUAUUGUUUUCCUUAAAUUAGUAUAGUUUAGAGUACUAGCAAUGCAAAUGUGGAGGGUUGGUACCAAAAAAUGAACAAUGUUGUUUUUAGAAAAUGUGGGUACUGGACUUUAUCCAUGUGAAGCAGAUCCCCGAGACACACAUACUAGCAUAGCACUAGUGAAAAUCUAAAUAGUACCUACAACCUCGGAAGCUUGCUAGGUGCGAGAAUUGUGGGGUUAAGGGCCACAGGAGAAACAACUGCACAGAACCAAUGGAUCUGAGAUUAGGGGGUGUCUGAUGCUGGUGUGAAGUGCAUGGCUGCAGCAGCAGCAUCAGUUCUGACUGAUGAAAACCAAGGAGAGCAAGGGUGUAAUCUAAAGACAUGUUGAUGUGUUCUGGGCAUUUUCUAUUUAUGUUGUACUCAUGUACUGUGUGGUACCGUCCGGCAGUGAGGCUGGCUAUGGAUGUAUCUAUGCAGUGCAUUUCCAGAAUCAGGUGUUUCGAUGUAGAAUUAUUGUUAUUUUCACGUGAUCCAUGGCCCCACCUGGUGUGUGUGAUGCCGGUGACUAGAGUGGCAUGUUGCCUGAGACUGAAUUGCAGUGCUUCUCUGUGUUAUCUGAUACUGAAUUCUGAUGCUUGUUCAGGCAGACUUGUGGCGCUUGUUUGUGUCGCGUGAAA